CAGCGUUCUAACUCGGAGCAGUUUCGUAAUGGAGAUCUUGAUGCUCGCCGUCGGGAGACUUUGUUGGGGAAGCGACCUGUUGAUGCACUGUUGGUUCGACCAUUACUGCUGGUUCUUCUUCCGCAUUUGAUGGCUUCGUAUCUGCUGCUCGGCCCUCCAUUGCGCGAACUGGUGAGUUAUUGUUUCUUUUCUCUGCUUAUUUUCUGUCCAUGUUGUUAUCUCUCUUGGCCAGUGCUUCUGCGGCCUUCUACUGGUUGCACGUGCCGCUGCUGGCCCAAUCGGUGUGCAAAAGGCACCAGCGUGUGGGCCCCAGCGCAUGACACGAUAGCAUGCACAGUCAGGCGAUGAAGGGUAUCGACAUAUACUGGAAUGGAAGCACACGGGGGCAUGCAGUGUACGCAUGCACUCGAACGAAAUACAUCGAUGCAUGCAGUGUACGCGUGCAAUCCGAUGAGAAUUCGCUGUCACAUGCAGUGCACGCAUGCAACCCGAUGAAUAUACGCCGCUGCAUGCAGUGGACUCAUGCAACCCGUUGAAUAUACCCCGCCGCAUGCAGUGCACGCAUGCACUUCGAUGAAAAUACCUCGCUGCAUGCAGUGCAUGUAUGCACUUCAGUAAUGCUAACUGAGUACACCACAAUGGACGAAGCUUAUCAUCGCCAGAGAGCGUCCUCCAUAGCAAAGCAAGUUAAGAGAGGAAGGGUAAACAUCCAGCCCUAAAUUUUAAUCAUGGAAGCGGAAGUACCUCGGAUGAGAAUCUUAUAGUGUAUAUUCCAAGACGACCAAUGCUUGAAACAGUGAGUGAAACAAUUGGCCUAAAAGUACAAGGCUACACCUGUCGGUACGUUCAUGAAGGUAUGAUACAAGUGUCUGUACUGAUUGCUCUGCCAUGCCGGAAAGAUAGCUUCAGAGAAUCCUCCAUUACAUAUGAAGGAGAAGCAGCUAAUACAGAAGAUGAAGCAAUGGAAAAGGCAGCUCAGGUGGCCUUCGAAUGCAUCUGUGCAGACUAUAAUAUUUCCACCAAUGAUCAUAAUUACUAUGCUCUUGAAGUCACAAAGGAAAGGUUAUUUACAGCAAGAGAGAAGGCUCAAACAAAGCAAUGGCAGUUCAAUAUGGCCCGCCAGCAAGUAAGCACAUAGCAAAACGAGUUUGCAACACAGACAAUGAUUCUGGCAAAGAUAUGCAAUGGCUUCUUUGAUUUAUUACCACUUCGUAUGUAUCCCCAGCGCCCAGACAACGACGAUCCCAUUAUCACAUAUACAGGCAGGCACCCUCUCGUCGGACGUAUGCAAAAACUUGCAAAAUCACUUUAUCAUUUUAUCACAGGCACCAAUCCUGCAGGAGGAUAUAAUAGGAUGAUCUAAUCCACUAGCAACUACUUCUAGCUUAUCUAUGUAAUGUAUUUGUGUUUUUAUAUACAGUACUCUGUUUGCAG